GAGAAGUAGCUGUAAAGCUCAGGAGGGAUAGCGCCAUAAUUCACGAGUUCGUGUAUACAUAUCGGCGCUAUCCAUCCUGAGUUCCAUGGCUUCUUCUU
rfam:Arabis alpina cultivar Pajares chromosome 8, whole genome shotgun sequence.